ACAAGCUGGAUGUUCUUUCUCUGUCUGUAUUUGGUGGAAGGAUCUGGCUUUGUUUUCAAGCAAGACUGUGCACACUAAUGAUGAGACCUCAUGAAUGUUGUCCCUCUUUUGCAUACACUCUCUUGCCAUAGAAUCCCUCUUUGAACGCGGCCCAUGAUGCAGCACAGAAGGUGCUAGAUGCAGCCACUCUGCAGCAGAAGAGCCGAUGUGAGUCAAAUUGAGUGCCUUUAUUCUUGAAUCUUCUGCUGUGUUUGUGUGCUCCAUGUUUUCCAUAUUUGAAACACCAUUUGCUGAGUUGUUUAUGUUUUGUUCACAGUUCCUCAAAUGCAAAAUACUCCCUUCAACCAAUCACUCACAUCAGGAGGUAAACCCAACCUAUCUACAGUUACCACAGUGUCACCGCAGCAACAAGUUCCACCUCAGCAGCCACCGCAGCAACCACAAGUCCCGCCCCAAGGUCCACCUGCACCCAACCAGCAACCUCCUCAGGCCCCUCAGCCACAGCCCACCAAUCAGCAGACGCAGCCAACAACACAGCCUGGCAUGGCAUCUGUACCUGCACCUCCAGUUGGGGCCCAGCAAGGUGUUGCCAAUAAGAUUGUAGCAUGGAGUGGAGUUCUAGAAUGGCAGGAGGUGAGAAAAUUAUACUAGUGACGUCAUAGCAAUAUUUGGUCUUGUUCAGGGGUGUGUUUCCCAAAAGCAUCGUUAGCCAACUAUGGUCGCAAGUUCCGUCUUUACCAACAUAGUUCAACAAUUCAGUGUUUCCCGAAACCAUAGUUCAAACGAACAUUCGCAAACAGCAUCGCAAACUUACGUGGUUGGAACUACAGCCCUCAACCUGUGGUUAGAAGCAUAGUUUCUUGUUAGUAAGACAUAUGGGCUUAAAUAAAUAUACUCUUGGGCACA
ensembl:lncRNA